CCUUGAAAUACCACCCUUUAAUGUUUGAUGUUCUAACGUGGACCCGUUACCCGGGUUGCGGACAGUGUCUGGUGGGUAGUUUGACUGGGGCGGUCUCCUCCUAAAGAGUAACGGAGGAGCACGAAGGUUGGCUAAUCCUGGUCGGACAUCAGGAGGUUAGUGCAAUGGCAUAAGCCAGCUUGACUGCGAGCGUGACGGCGCGAGCAGGUGCGAAAGCAGGUCAUAGUGAUCCGGUGGUUCUGAAUGGAAGGGCCAUCGCUCAACGGAUAAAAGGUACUCCGGGGAUAACAGGCUGAUACCGCCCAAGAGUUCAUAUCGACGGCGGUGUUUGGCACCUCGAUGUCGGCUCAUCACAUCCUGGGGCUGAAGUAGGUCCCAAGGGUAUGGCUGUUCGCCAUUUAAAGUGGUACGCGAGCUGGGUUUAGAACGUCGUGAGACAGUUCGGUCCCUAUCUGCCGUGGGCGCUGGAGAACUGAGGGGGGCUGCUCCUAGUACGAGAGGACCGGAGUGGACGCAUCACUGGUGUUCGGGUUGUCAUGCCAAUGGCACUGCCCGGUAGCUAAAUGCGGAAGAGAUAAGUGCUGAAAGCAUCUAAGCACGAAACUUGCCCCGA
rnacentral:rRNA from 3 species